AUUGAACGCUGGCGGCAGGCUUAACACAUGCAAGUCGAGCGAGCGGCGGACGGGUGAGUAAUGUCUGGGAAACUGCCUGAUGGAGGGGGAUAACUACUGGAAACGGUAGCUAAUACCGCAUACCAUCAGAUGUGCCCCGAUGGGAUUAGCUAGUAGGGGGGGUAAUGGCUCACCUGGGCAUCGAUCCCUCGCUGGUCUGAGAGGAUGACGAGCCACACGGGAACGGAGACACGGUCCAGACGCCUACGUGAGGCAGCAGUGGGGAAUAUUGGACAAUGGGCGAAAGCCUGAUGCAGCCAUGCCGCGUGUGUGAAGAAGGCCUUCGGGUUGUAAAGCACUUUCAGCGAGGAGGCGUUACUCGCAGAAGAAGCACCGGCUAACUCCGUGCCAGCAGCCGCGGUAAUAC
rnacentral:rRNA from 1 species